GAUGAACGCUGGCGGCGUGCCUAAUACAUGCAAGUCGAGCGAACGGACGAGAAGCUUGCUUCUCUGAUGUUAGCGGCGGACGGGUGAGUAACACGUGGAUAACCUACCUAUAAGACUGGGAUAACUUCGGGAAACCGGAGCUAAUACCGGAUAAUAUUUUGAACCGCAUGGUUCAAAAGUGAAAGACGGUCUUGCUGUCACUUAUAGAUGGAUCCGCGCUGCAUUAGCUAGUUGGUAAGGUAACGGCUUACCAAGGCAACGAUGCAUAGCCGACCUGAGAGGGUGAUCAGCCACACUGGAACUGAGACACGGUCCAGACUCCUACGGGAGGCAGCAGUAGGGAAUCUUCCGCAAUGGGCGAAAGCCUGACGGAGCAACGCCGCGUGAGUGAUGAAGGUCUUCGGAUCGUAAAACUCUGUUAUUAGGGAAGAACAUAUGUGUAAGUAACUGUGUACAUCUUGACGGUACCUAAUCAGAAAGCCACGGCUAACUACGUG
rnacentral:rRNA from 1 species